CAUUCACGGAGAGUUUGAUCCUGGCUCAGGACGAACGCUGGCGGCGUGCUUAACACAUGCAAGUCGAACGAUGAACCUCCUUCGGGAGGG
rnacentral:rRNA from 2 species